rnacentral:rRNA from 1 species
UUUGACCUCGGAUCAGUAGGUUACCCGCUGAA